AACAAUUUGUUCCGGCUUGCGAAAAAGUUCCGGAUGAUGUAAUAAUCACGUUCCGAUCUCACAUUAAAAUGUUUCUCAUAGAAUGUUGGCGUCGUUGCUAUGACUGUUGCUGUCGCUGGACGAUCCAUUUACCCCUUUGUGACGUCUAUGCUUUGUGACCACCGAAUCCUACUGCGGUAAACGUGCGAAGGAGUCCUUCAGCAACAAGGGGUUGAUGGCUUGCUUGACGGCACGCUUUGCGUUACAGGAAUAGGCCUACCAACCUACGUUCAGUGUAAUACUUCUGCCGUUCAGGCACCGAUUUUAUAUUUGAACAUUUUCUCAUAGACAUUACAUAUAGGCUUUACAGUGGUUUGGUUGGUAGGUUUUAAACGUAUUUUUUUGUUUUACUACGGAAGAUCGACUCACUCAACUUGCUAACGUAACGUUACAUCUGGAUCUGGAUGCGGAGCAGCAGAACUACCACACCAGAAGCUCGUGGAUCAGCUCAGAAGGAGAGAGAGAAGAAUGAGUAAUCACAGCCUUGACCAUGAAGCAAGGACCAUGAAGGGAUGGCCAUCGAAAAGAAAUACCUGUAUAGGCAGUUACAGGCUACAGAAAGAAGAUGCCUGAGAAGAGGACUGGACUGAAACACCUGCACAACCAAGCCAGCUUGGAGGAGAGGAUAUGCAUUGAACCUGCUCACCAAUGCCAGCAAAAAGAGGAACCUCCUGGCCCAGACAUCAAUUGUGGUUUUAUUUUGUGAAAUAAAAAGACCACACAUUUGAGUAA